AGCGAACGUUUGCGGCGGGCUUAACACAUGCAAGUCGAACGGGCUGGUUCCUUCGGGGGCGAGUCAGUGGCGGCACGGGUGGCGUAACACGUAGGUAAUCAACCCUCUGGUUGGGGAGUAACACUUCGAAAGGAGUGCUAAUACCCGGUAUGGCGCAGCGGUCUUCGGAGUCGCGGCGAGAAAGACCCGCAAGGGUUGCCAGAGGACGAGCCUGCGGCCCAUCAGCUAGUUGGCGAGGUAACGGCUCACCAAGGCGAAGACGGGUAGCUGGUCUGAGAGGAUGAUCAGCCACACUGGAACUGAGACACGGUCCAGACUCCUACGGGAGGCAGCAGUGGGGGAAUAUUGCGCAAUGGGCGAAAGCCUGACGCAGCCACGCGCGUGAGCGAUGAA
rnacentral:rRNA from 1 species